CCCCGGUUAGCUAAGCGGUAGAGCAGCGCCCCUACAAGGCGACGGUCUGCGGUUCGAUCCCGUGACUGGGGA
rnacentral:tRNA from 1 species